UGAGCAAUCUGCCCUUCUCAUCGGAAUAAGCGUUGGAAACGACGUCUAAUGCCGAAUACGACCUCCUUUCGCAUGAUCGGAGGUGGAAAGCUCCGGCGGAGAAGGAUGAGCUCGCGGCCUAUCAGCUAGUUGGUGUGGGUAAUGGCCCACCAAGGCGACGACGGGUAGCCGGCCUGAGAGGGCGACCGGCCACACUGGGACUGAGAUACCGGCCCAGACUCCGUACGGGAGCCAG
rnacentral:rRNA from 1 species